rnacentral:rRNA from 1 species
CAAGUCCUACGGGGGGCAGCAGUGGGGAAUAUUGCACAAUGGGGGAAACCCUGAUGCAGCAACGCCGCGUGGGUGAAGGAGCGUUUCGGCGCGUAAAGCCCUGUCAGCGGGGAAGAAGAAAGACGGUACCCGACCAAGAAGCCCCGGCUAACUACGUGCCAGCAGCCGCGGUAAUACGUAGGGGGCGAGCGUUAUCCGGAAUUACUGGGUGUAAAGGGAGCGUAGGUGGCAAGGCAAGUCAGAUGUGAAAACCCGGGGCCCAACCCCGGGAGUGCAUUUGAAACUGUCUGGCUAGAGUGCAGGAG